CAAGGGUACAUCUGUCAUUUUACUUCAAAGAAAAGACAAAAUAGAUGGCAAAUCCGUCAUCUUACUUAAAACACAAAAUAGAUAAUUAACUUUUUCUCAACAUUUCCAGAAGAAUCCAUUCUUUCAUAUCUUUGUACCAACAAUGGAGAGACAUCCACUCCUUCACAAGUAUUCAGAAGUCUCUUUUCUCCAAACUUGAAUUGAAGGCCUGCUCAUUAACUUCAUCUUCUCAGCUGGGUAUGCAUUUUUAGGUCAGCUUUUGUUUCAUUAUUUGCCCUAAUCUACUCUUGAAAAGAGAUUAAAGUUUACAAUUUCAUAAUUGAGUUUGAGAUUAAGGCGUACAAAUUAUUGUUGUAUUCUUAUAUAUAUUCAAAUUUUGGCGCAAGUGGAAGAGGCGUUGUCCAUGGUUUACAUAUACAGAUCCCCGAUCAUGUUUGUGGGAUGUGGUUAGUUCUACACACGGAAAAUUCAGUUUAGUUUUUUCUCCCAAUUUUUUCUCUUGGUUCUGUCAUAUUUUUUCAAUUUUAUGAGUUAAGUUCAAGUCUGCUAUAGUAAUUGUUCUGCCUUAACUCUCUCUAUGUUCUUCCACAUUCAUUUUCAUUUUUGGAUCCAACGAAGACCUCAAAAUUUAUGUCGGUAUUUUCCUUCAUUGAAUUACUUUUUUUUAUCUUCUUCUCAUUGUGUAGAUGCCCUUUGAAUCUUGAACUUUCUUCUAGGAAAAAGUGUUUGAUUGGUAGUAGUGAUGGACUACUCUUUCUUUUUUUAUCUUUAUCGCAUAAAGAUAGACUGCUCCCUUCUCCGGUAUCAGAAAGAACUUGGACACUCUACAAGACAAAUUCAAGUGCAGUGGCAGAUUUUCUUGCCUCUUUUCUAACAAUCGCAAUAGGUACUAUCAUGCUUUCAUUUCAAAAUUAGCUUUAAUGUUGGAAAUUCGAGUAUCCUGAAUAACAAUUGAUAGUUUUUACUGAACGGCUCUAAAUGUCUAUAUACCUAGCUUACUAAUUGUCUUCAAGUUUGAUGUAAAGACUAAAGACUGACUGAACAGUACAGUGAAGGAUGUUUGCUUAAAGAAAUGAAUAAUAGACCUAUUUUCUAGAGGGAAGUGUCGAUACAUAUACGGGUUAAUUAAGAUUGCGGCUCUAUUGACUAACUUUGAUUCUUGAAUCUAAACUUAGUGCAACAUUCUAAUAAAGAUACUCCUUUGAUGAUGAAUGAAGAAUGACAAUGAUAUUUCUAUAUAGGCUAAUAUCGCACUCUAACUUAUCACCAUUUUCUAACAUACAGAGACUUUUUUUGUCUAUUGAAUUUGUUUUCUCCACUGUUUUUAAAUCAGUCUCUUAUGUCUUUCAUGCUAGCUACUAAGAGAGAACCAUGUAGCUAUUGUUGACUAAUACUGAUUCUCUGCUUAUCUUCUACUACUACUAAUCAUGAUAAAAAAAAUGUAGUUUGGUGUACACAUUAGGUGUCGGUAACUUUUUUCCUUCAAACUAUUCCAGCGAAGAAGGCAAGUGUUAGAGCAACAGUAAAAUUGUCUCUAUCUGACCUAUGGUCACUGGUUCAAGUCAUGGGAUCAACCAUUUAUUCUUGUGUCAAGGUGAACCAAGAAAAUAAAAAAUGUUGGAUGCAUAAAAAUAUAAGCUAUAAUUAAUCUCUCUUUUUCGAAGACAAACGCCCUAAGCUCUAAAUUUUGGGGGACCUAAUAUUUUUAUCAAGAAGAAGAUAUAUGAUGUGCACGUUAGAGGGAUAGUUUAUUGUCUAGCUAUUGAAAAGUAAUACCACAACCAGGUAGUCAUUAUGGAGUAUUUCAAACUGUGUCCAAGGGAAAAAAACAUAAGCACAUGAGAGGUUCACAAGAAGAAGGAAAUAGUCCAGGUUCAACUUAAAAGCUAAGUUGGACAAACAUCUCAAUCUUGAAUAUUCAUCUUCUGCAAUCAUUUUGUGCCUCACUUCGGAGUGUACCUUAAUUUUUUCUCCAUUCUUGCACCAGACUGUUCUAUUAUUUAUGGUGAGUUUCGUUUGAAUUUUGUUUCCUCUUUUGUGUUUGUAUUGUAUCGACUAAUAUGCACAUGUAGAGCUAUUUCUUCUUAUCUCUUGCUCCGAUCUUUUGUAGUUCAUGUGAAUUUAGUUCAUUGUGGGAUGAAUUGAACUUCAAUCUCUGAAAAUAAGUGUUAUCUAUCUUCUUAUAUUUCAAUACUCUAUUUUAGUUGUUGUUUUCCUUUUUGGUAUGUGUAUGUGUUCGUUAAUAAAAGUUUUUGUUUGUUCUUUCUUAAAAAUAUAAGAAGCUAUUUUCAUAUGUCGCAAAAUUAAAUAACAUAGUGCUUUUGGAAGGUUCAAAUUCCAGUGGAGCUAGAUCAAAACACUAUAGGUUAGUGUAAGGUGGCUUGGACACUGCAAUUGGACAACCCUAUGAAUAUUCGAUCAUAUCUUCUAACUCCCCAACCAUUCAAAUUUCUCCCAAGAAUAAUAUUACGUCAGUUAUUGCUUUAUAUACUUUGAUAGACAAUAUUUUCCUUCAUGUUGAACUGCUCCAAUGGAUCUAAAAUUCAAAUGACAAGCAAAACAAGUUUUUCACAAACUACAGGAC